rnacentral:rRNA from 1 species
UACAGAGGGUGCGAGCGUUGUUCGGAAUUAUUGGGCGUAAAGGGCGCGUAGGCGGUGCCACAAGUCACUUGUGAAAUCCCCGGGCUUAACUCGGGGCCUGCAGGCGAAACUGUGGUGCUGGAGUAUGGGAGAGGUGCGUGGAAUUCCCGGUGUAGCGGUGAAAUGCGCAGAUAUCAGGAGGAACACCAAUGGCGAAGGCAGCUCGCUGGGACGGUACUGACGCUGAGACGCGAAAGCGUGGGGAGCAAACAG